UCUGGUUGAUCCUGCCGGACCUGACUGCUAUCGGAAUGAUACUAAGCCAUGCGAGUCAUUGUAGCAAUACAAGGCAGACGGCUCAGUAACGCGUAGUCAAUCUACCCUAUGGACGGGAAUAACCUCGGGAAACUGAGAAUAAUGCCCGAUAGAACAUUAUGCCUGGAAUGGUUUAUGUUUCAAAUGAUUUAUCGCCGUAGGAUGGGACUGCGGCCUAUCAGUUUGUUGGUGAGGUAAUGGCCCACCAAGACUAUUACAGGUACGGGCUCUGAGAGGAGUAGCCCGGAGAUGGGUACUGAGACACGGACCCAGGCCCUAUGGGGCGCAGCAGGCGAGAAAACUUUGCAAUGUGCGAAAGCACGACAAGGUUAAUCCGAGUGGUUUCUGCUAAAGAAACCUUUUGCUAGUCCUAGAAACACUAGUGAAUAAGGGGUGGGCAAGUUCUGGUGUCAGCCGCCGCGGUAAAACCAGCACCUCAAGUGGUCAGGAUGAUUAUUGGGCCUAAAGCAUCCGUAGCUCGUUUUGUAAGUUUUCGGUUAAAUCCAUACGCUCAACGUAUGGGCUGCCGGGAAUACUGCAUAACUAGGAAGUGGGAGAGGUAGACGGUACUCGGUAGGAAGGGGUAAAAUCCUUUGAUCUAUUGAUGACCACCUGUGGCGAAGGCGGUCUACCAGAACACGUUCGACGGUGAGGGAUGAAAGCUGGGGGAGCAAACCGGAUUAGAUACCCGGGUAGUCCCAGCUGUAAACUAUGCAAACUCAGUGAUGCAUUGGCUUGUGGCCAAUGCAGUGCUGCAGGGAAGCCGUUAAGUUUGCCGCCUGGGAAGUACGUACGCAAGUAUGAAACUUAAAGGAAUUGGCGGGGGAGCAC
rnacentral:rRNA from 1 species